AUGAACGCUGGCGGCGUGCUUAACACCUGCAAGUCGAACGAAGCACUUUAUUUGAUUUCCUUCGGGACUGAUUAUUUUGUGACUGAGUGGCGGACGGGUGAGUAACGCGUGGGUAACCUGCCUUGUACAGGGGGAUAACAGUUGGAAACGGCUGCUAAUACCGCAUAAGCGCACAGCAUCGCAUGAUGCAGUGUGAAAAACUCCGGUGGUAUAAGAUGGACCCGCGUUGGAUUAGCUAGUUGGUGAGGUAACGGCCCACCAAGGCGACGAUCCAUAGCCGAACCUGGAGGGCGACCGGCCAAAUUGGGAAUGAGACACGGCCCAAACUCCCACGGGAGGCAGGAGGUGGGAAUAUUGCACAAUGGGCGAAAGCCUGAUGCAGCGACGGCGCGUGAGCGAAGAAGUAUUUCGGUAUGGAAAGCUCUAUCAGCAGGGAAGAUAAUGACGGUACCUGACUAAGAAGCACCGGCUAAAUACGUG
rnacentral:rRNA from 1 species